AUGAACGCUGGCGGCGUGCCUCAUACAUGCAAGUCGAGCGAACAGAUGAGGAGCUUGCUCCUCUGACGUUAGCGGCGGACGGGUGAGUAACACGUGGAUAACCUACCUAUAAGACUGGGAUAACUUCGGGAAACCGGAGCUAAUACCGGAUAAUAUAUUGAACCGCAUGGUUCAAUAGUGAAAGACGGUUUUGCUGUCACUUAUAGAUGGAUCCGCGCCGCAUUAGCUAGUUGGUAAGGUAACGGCUUACCAAGGCAACGAUGCGUAGCCGACCUGAGAGGGUGAUCGGCCACACUGGAACUGAGACACGGUCCAGACUCCUACGGGAGGCAGCAGUAGGGAAUCUUCCGCAAUGGGCGAAAGCCUGACGGAGCAACGCCGCGUGAGUGAUGAAGGUCUUCGGAUCGUAAAACUCUGUUAUUAGGGAAGAACAAAUGUGUAAGUAACUAUGCACGUCUUGACGGUACCUAUUCAGAAAGCCACGGCUAACUACGUG
rnacentral:rRNA from 1 species